CACGUGCCGUCGCUGCGCCCAAACGGCCAGCAGAGGGCGCACGUGGACUCCAGAUUAACGGUCACUUCCCAGUUCAGUUUCACAAACCAAUUGAUCCAGGAGGGUCUCUUACCUCCCGGCCCAACGCCUAGCAAUAGUGGCCAAACCCAAACUGCAUUUGCUGAGGGUAGGAAAUUAUGAAGCCAUCUGUCGGCGUGAAGAAUGAGUGAAAAGUUCUGAAAACCAAGUUUCCAAAACAAUGUUCCGUUUGUUGCCAUCUGACUUCGCUCCGAUGCCCAGAUGAUGUAGACAGCCCCACCACAGCCAGUCCUUCCUUUUCCAGGCUCCUGUGGGCCUUCAACGGUCGGUCGGUCGGUCAGUCAGUCGGUCCGUCGGUCAGUCGAUCGGGUCGGGCGUCGAAGAUUUGGAGGAAUCGUCCCGUAACAGGGGCCUGCCUGUGUUUUGUGAGCUCUGUCCACAGAGAGUGCUGCCACGCUUCUGCCAAGCAGGAGAAGGGUCCGGGGGUCUCUGCGGCCCUGAAGGAAAGCCGUUUGCACAGAAGAUAAGCAUUUUCUGCAAGUCGUGAGUAGUGGAGGUGAGGAAGACGUGAGCCACACACCAAAAGAAAGGUGCCCUGGGUCAGGCACCACCUUUGUGCCCGAUGAGAAGAGACACACCCACCAGAGCCAAGAUGGAGCCACUACACUCUGUCCUGGAAGGGACAGCCAGGUGACUGCUCCCUAAAACCACACCCACUCUGUGGCUCCUUUCCCAAAGGUGCUUUAUCUGACUGAAGUCGUGUGCACUGUGAAGGCUGGCUGAUGCUUUAGGUCGGCAGGGAUGGGACAUUCCUGCUGCCGUGGAUCUCCUACGGAAGGUGCCUCCCUUGGUCUGCACAUGGCCUCAGUGGGAAGGCCUCGCCAGCACAUAAAGUGCUAUACUGCAGGCAUGCCAGAUCCUUGGCACCCAGUGUGUUUCUGGACCUGUGCCCUUCAGCCCAGGACCCUGUGCUCGCUGGCUACUUGUUCACAUGACGCUCUUGUUCAUAUGAUGCUGGAAACCUGUGCCCUUUCUAGACACCCUCUCUGUUGGUGUGAGUGGGUGGGCACAUGGGUACCACUCAGGGGUCGGGUACUGUGCUCCUACCCGGGAAGGAGUCUCCGCAGCAGUGUGUAGACGGGUACCUGCAUACCACGUGUGACUGUGUUGAGAAUCCUUGCUUAUGGCUAUGAUGUCAUUACUCCUCCUCCUCCUCCUCCAUCUCCUCCUCCUCCUCGUCCUCCUGGUUUGGGGUUGACAUCCUUGCUGUCUUCCCAACACCACCACUUAGGCCUCCUGUUGGAAAGGCAAGAAGAGCAAAGGCUCCCCAACGGUCCUCUCUCUUGUUCUCGGUAGCACCUGGCUGGCUGACUUCCCCUCAAAACCACUUCUGGGGUCUUCUCGCCCUCCCCUAUCUUCUCUUGGGUCCGGAGAGGGUGUGUGUGCCUGUUGAACGACCAUGGAGCCCACUCUGUGGCCAAGGAGCCUGCUGAUGAGCCAGAGCCAGGCCUCCCUGAGGCCUUUCCCCCAUACACCACAGAGCCAGAAUCCUCCUCUCUCCUGUCCUGGUGGACACCAGGCACAGGGAGAGCCGAGGCCUGGGGGAUGCUGUGGAGUUGGUUGUGCCCUAGGCAGGAUGGCCAAAGCCUAAGUGGACCCUGGGGAUCGGGGCCUGCCUGCCACCAAUGGCCCUUUGGCCCUGCCAUAGUGAGUGCUAUCUAAGCUUAGGAUGUAAGAAUCACCUCAUGCUCAAAUGCUCCUCCCAGGAGGUACAGAGCUGUGUCUCUUUCCCCACCUGGAAGGUAUUGGGAAGUUCCUAAGAGAGCAGGCCUCACCCAUGCUCACUGCUCUCCUGCUUGCUGCUUUCUGGGACCCGAUGUUCUGAGGAAGCAGGUGUCUUCUGCUUUGUCUAGGUCGUAGUCUCUGGUCUUUGGUUCAUUGUCCUGUGAUACAAUUUCUAAGGGCUGUUUAGUAAUUCUUUUGUUCUUCUAGGAGAUAGCAAGAAAUGGGGAGCAGUGUUAAUAAUUGGGUCUCUGAGCAAGUACAGUGAAGGAGCCUAGAAAUGGGUAUGUGUGGAACGCCAGGAAGCCUCAGUCCCCAUCCAGGUCAGGGGGCAGUGGUCUGGCCAGGUCCCUGGAAAGAUGUGAUGCAGGCCUUGCAGGCGGUGACCUGCAGCAGGUCCUGGAGCAGCUGAGCCCGUGUCUCGCAGCAGCCUGGGGACUACAGCCAGCUCAUGGACAGUAAAUGGGCAGGGGGAACUGGCCUGUCUCAGACCCAUGGUAGAUCCUCCUAAGCCUUGCCUUGUGAUGUGGCAUGCUGCUGCAGCACAACCUGCCUUCAGAGGCACCAGGGAGCAGGAUGCUACUGGGAUGGUAAAGGAGAGCAUCUCUGCAGGUCAACAGGGACUCCAGCUGCCAAUCUCAGGCUCUGACUCCCUUAACCUUGCUGGCAGGGCUACAUCUGACUGCCCAUUCUUUGGGCAGACCCCCGGAAUAUCUGGCUGGGCUCAUUUUGCCUCCCCUCUGCCCCUCUUGUGCCCCUGCUCCCCCCCCCCAACUUCACCACAUCUCCCCACAUCAGUGUGAAGAGCCUGACACACCUCUGUCUCUUGGUUUUUAAUCCAAUGCCCUUCCUGGUUUCCUUUGAUGGAGGCAUAGGUAACCCUGGGCUAUUUUCCAGUCUGCUGAGUGAUAACUUAGGCAAGGAGACUCCUAAACCAGGACAGGAGAACCUGGUGUCGGGGAUGACGGUGCCUUCACACAUUGCCUUUGCCUCGAUUGCCUUGGCAUCUUGGCAUUUAUGACCUUGGUAUGACCUUCAUCUUGCUGGUGACAGCACUAGUCCUUGGGGACUCCCUAACUUUUAGAAUGUGGCUUCAUCCUUUUUUGAAGGGUGGGGAGUUGUGAGUAGGGGGUGGGUCAAUACCGAGGCAGCAGACAUACCCACCCCUUCCUGUGUGCUCAGGGGAACUUGGUUUUGUGGUCCCUGCCUGGGCCUUGCAUCUAUCCUUGGGCUCUGUGUUCCUUGCAUUGGCCACAGCCAAGCCCUGUCUGUGGUUCUCAGCAGUUGUGAUGUGCUCAGUGGUCAGCUGGCUCUCCUUUGUCACAUCGUUCCUCCAUAGACAGAGCUCUGUUCCAGGGUCUGCGUGCACGGUGUGGCCUGAGCCUCCUGCAGCCUUUCCUCAUUGUCAGUAGUGAAGGUGAUGAAGCAAAGGUCACACUGGGUUCAUCCCAGCAUCAUCUUCUUUUUCUUGAUUGGAUGCCUUAUUCCUUCUCAGUCUCUAUGAGGUCUUGUGUGGUCCUCUCUGGGGUUGCUGAUCGAUUCUUCUUCUUUUUCACUCUUCUCCCCCCUUGACGGACUUGGGAGAGUCUCUGAGCACCAUGGAGCAGGCAGGCCCUCACAUGGCCAGCUGUCCCCUUACCUCCUUGUUCCCUGGCAUAGGCAAGGAUUCCUGCCCUGUUGGAUCCUGAGAGUGGGUGCUGCCUGCUGAGGAUGUAAGUCCUGACAACUGAUUGCUUCAACACAAAAGAUGAGUUCCUAAUAAGUGAGUAGUCAUUGACUGAAAAUAGCUCUGUACUUGGGAAGGCCAAGGCCAAGGUCCUGGCAGGUGGAUCCCCUGGUGUGAGCUCAGAGCUCCUGACCAGCACCUUAGAGCUGAGUUCCACAGGCAGAGGUUAACAGAGCUCCCCCUGGCCAUGUUCUCGAGGGCACUAAUUACAUUCAUGGAGGUGUGUGUGUGUGUGUGUGUGUGUGUGUGUGUGUGUGUGUGUCGGGUCCUGUACACAACCCUGUUCCUUUUCUCACAGCGGAAAUUAGUUCAUAACAUGAAUUUGGAGGGACACCAACUCUCAGGCCACGAAAUGUCCUAAUGAAUGUGGAAUUGACAGGAUCAAGAGGCUUCAGGUUGUGUCUGUGGCCUCUGGAUAAGGGGGGCAAAGGCCAGGGGUGGGAAGGGGGAUGGUUCCUGAUUGGUGGGAUCCGGGCUUAUGUGGAAUGGGUGACCCAGAACCUCAGGUGCUGGGCAGGGUGCUGUGGAGCAUGCAGAGCAGCACUGAAAGUCACUUCCCUUGACUGAGUGGAUGGGGGUGCAGCGGGGAGUAGACUCCCUUUCUGCCUCCUGCAUGACACAGCUUCAGUUCUGUCCUGCUUCUCAGACCUUGUUUCCGUCUGUAACUGCUGCUAUGCUCACUUUCCAAAGAAGCUCUGCCACUCCCUCUAGAUGGGAGGAGAUCUGGGUCCAUGUGGUUCAGGCCCAGAGAUAUCCUGAUGCUCCCUUCUCCCUCCCAGGUGUCUGUCAUCAUCCUUUCCUAUGGGUUCUUGCCUUGUGCCAGGCUUCUUCCAGAGCUGGAGGUGGUUGGGGUGGAGAUGGUUAGGGGCAAACAGGGAGAGGGAAUGGGGACAUUGGUCAGCUCUUUAGACAGUGUUGGCAAUGUGCCUCCUGGAGCCUCUCAGGGCAGCUCUUCACAGGAGGUCAGGCCAUGCCCCAGGGCUGGGCAGAAGCAUAGCCUUCACCACCAGACUUGCCUCCCAAGGCCUCUGCACAUGUGAGCCUGGUCUCUGUGGUGCCCAGCUUGCCUCUCUUUAUGCCUACUUCACCAUAUCUCUUUCUCUCAUCUGCUUGGUUUCUCUGAGUUCCAACAGUGCUUCAGACAGUUGUGGAAGGAAAGAAGAGCAGAGACUGUGUGUCUGUCUCCCUUGGGCUUUGCUUUGGCUCCCCCUUGCUGUCUGGUUCUUGUUGUCAACCUGUUUGGCCAAUUUCAAGCUAUUGAAUUCUGUCACACGUCAGAACAUAGAUGCCUACUGCUCACCAAAGAAAAGGCAAAGUGCUAGAGAGAUGGCUCAGAGGUUAACACUGCUUGCUCCAUUCUCCACAGGACCAGAUCUUAGACCCCCACACUCCUGUCAUAUGCCCAGCAUUCCUGCCAAUUCCUUUAAACCCAACUGUGGAGGGAUGGAGACAGGAGGAUGUCUGGGACUUGCCUGCUUUCAGCCCAGUGGAGAUGUGAACCCAGGGCUCAGGAAGAAACCCUGCUCUAAGAAACUAUGUAGAGGGACAGAGGAGGAUAGUAGUUGCCCUCUUCAGGAUCUGUGAGGGAGCAGGGGAACCCAGGGUACACACCAUAUGUCUUACAAAGGAAGGGAACAAAGCCCACAGCUCCGUACCCCACAGGAGCAGG